rnacentral:lncRNA from 1 species
AUGACUCCACAAAAGACUGACAGGGUCAGAGGAUCAGCUCGAGGGUGAUGGAUCCUAAGCAGCCAGCAGCUGCAGGGACAGGGGCAGCAGCCGGGCACGGUGCGGCUCUGCGCGGCCCACACGACUGGAGGCCAUCUUCGGGUGAGGUGCUGAACACACCAGAAGCCACACCGUUGAUUCCCACAUGCAAGGAAGAAAAAUUACAGGAGCAGCAGUACUCUUUGGACAGCUCUCUGUCAUCCCCCGACAGUGAGGAUGAGGAAAAGGAGAAUAAGAAGAUAAAAAAGAAGAAGCUGAAGAAGAAGGCCAAGAAACGAAAGGCGUCAAGUUCCUCUUCCUCAUCUUCCUCCUCCUCCUCCUCCUCUUCUUCAAGUAGCUCAUCAGACAGCGAGGACAGUGAGGUAAGUCUGUUGCAUAUCAAAGAUUCAUAUAUAACACCCCACGGAAUGGAGCAGAGGUGUGUGUGUGUGUGUGUGUGUGUGUGUGUGUGUGUGUGUGUGUGCGGGCUCGUGCAUGUAUGUAUGCAAAGUGGAUCACAGUACAGACAGUCACACCUUACCACUCUACAGGAUAAACAUGGCGUUC